rnacentral:rRNA from 1 species
GGGGAGUAUGUUCGCAAGAAUGAAACUCAAAGGAAUUGUUGGGGACCUGCACAAGCAGUGGAGCAUGUGGUUUAAUUUGAUGCAAUGCGAAGAAUCUUACGAGGGCUUGACAUGCCACGAAUCCUCUUGAAGGAGAGGGGUGCCUUCAAGAACGUGGGCACAGGUGGUGUAUGGCUGUUGCCAGCUCGUGUCGUAAGGUGUUGGGUUAAGUCCCGCAACGAUCGCAAUGCUCGAACCCUGAACAGACUGUCGAUGAUAAGUUAGAAGAAGGUGAGGAUGACGUCAAGUCAUCAUGCCUCUUAUGCCCUGGGCGACACAGUGCUACAAUGGCCAGGACAAAGAAGCCAGAAUUGAUUUUCCUUGAUACCUAACAUAAUGUAUGAAAGGAUCCUUGAACAAGCAUAGAUUAGUUGAAAAUCCUUAACA